rnacentral:rRNA from 1 species
AUGGCCCCGCCUCCGCGCCAUCUUCUACUACUGCCCGUUCUCCUCCUCGCCUCCCUGCUCCGCGCAGCGCAGAUGGAGCCCGCCCACGCCGCCGCCGCCGGCGACGGCGAUCGCGACGAGGGCGCCCGCGCGCUGCUCGCGCUGCUGCAGCGCGUGCAGUCGGAGGCGCUGCGCGCGCUGGGGCCGCGCGACUUCGACCCCAAGCUCUACGUCGACCUGCCGCUCGCGCCCGGCGCCGACCGGGCCGCCGCGGAGGCCGCGCUCGCGACGGUGACCACGCGCGGGGAGAUGAAGGCGUUCCUGGCCCGGUACUUCGCGACGGCGGGGUCCGACCUGGUGGAGGCCGACCCGCCGGACUUCGAGGCCGAGCCGCGCGGGUUCCUGCCGAGGGUCGCGAGCGGCGAGGCGCGGGCGUGGGCGCUGAAGGUGCACGCGCUGUGGAAGGACCUGGCGCGGCGGGUGGCGCCGUCCGUCGCGGCGCGGCCCGACCGGCACACCCUGCUGCCGCUGCCCGGCAGGGUCGUCGUGCCGGGCUCCAGGUUCCGGGAGGUCUACUACUGGGACUCGUACUGGGUCGUCAGGGGCUUGCUGGUGAGCAAAAUGUACGACACGGCAAAGGACAUCGUGCUCAAUCUUGUGUACCUCGUGGAGGAAUAUGGGUUCGUUCUCAACGGUGCCAGAUCCUACUACACUAAUCGAAGCCAACCACCACUUUUGAGCUCGAUGGUUUUGGAAUUAUACACGGCAACAGGUGAUUUGGGCCUUGUGAGGAGAGCAUUCCCCUCUUUGCUGAAAGAGCAUAGCUUCUGGGUAUCAGAGCUUCACAACGUGGAAAUAAUGGACAAUCAUGGACGGCUGCAUAAUUUGAGUCGUUACCAGGCCAUGUGGAACAAACCUAGACCAGAAAGUGCAACAAUUGAUGAGGAACUGGCCUCAAAGCUUAAUUCUACGGCUGCCAAGGAAAAAUUGUACCACCAGAUUGCUUCAGCGGCUGAAUCAGGAUGGGAUUUUAGCUCUCGAUGGAUGAGCAAUUCAACUGACAUGACAACCUUGGUAACAACAUUUGUUAUACCUGUGGACUUGAACACAUUCAUAUGCAAGAUGGAACGGGACAUAGCGGUCUUUGCCAAACUCAUUGGAGAGAAGGCAACUGCAGAACUUUUCUCACAGGCUUCAAAAGCACGCCAUACGGCAAUCGAGUCUCUUUUGUGGAAUUCUGAGAUGGAACAGUGGCUUGACUACUGGCUUCCCACUGAUGGAAAUUGCCAGGGACCCUACAAGUGGGAAUUGAAGUCACAAAACCGCAACAUCUUUGCUUCUAACUUCGUACCCUUGUGGUUAAAUGCACAUAAUUCAGGUUUGGGGCCAUUUCUGGAUGAAGCAAAAUCAGUGAGAGUCAUGAGAAGCCUCCAAGCAUCAGGGUUGGUCUGUCCUGCAGGAAUAGCAACUUCAGUAUCCAAUACAGGGCAACAAUGGGAUUUUCCAAAUGGAUGGGCACCAUUGCAGCAUCUGAUAGCUGAGGGAUUGCUGAACUCUGGUUCAACAGAAGCAAAAGAAUUUGCUGAGGACAUCGCCACGAGGUGGGUGAGAACAAACUAUGCAGCCUACAAAUCAAGCGGCGCAAUGCAUGAGAAGUACGACGUCGAGGCCUGUGGAAAAUCCGGAGGAGGCGGUGAAUACAAACCACAGACUGGUUUUGGUUGGUCAAAUGGCGUAUUAUUAGCAUUUUUGGAAGAGUUGGGAUGGUCCCAUGACAAGGAAAUAGGCUGCCCAUCCUGA